AGUGAACGCUGGCGGUAUGCCUAACACAUGCAAGUCGAACGGCAGCACAGUAAGAGCUUGCUCUUACGGGUGGCGAGUGGCGGACGGGUGAGGAAUACAUCGGAAUCUACUUUUUCGUGGGGGAUAACGUAGGGAAACUUACGCUAAUACCGCAUACGACCUACGGGUGAAAGCAGGGGAUAUUCGGACCUUGCCCGAUUGAAUGAGCCGAUGUCGGAUUAGCUAGUUGGCGGGGUAAAGGCCCACCAAGGCGACGAUCCGUAGCUGGUCUGAGAGGAUGAUCAGCCACACUGGAACUGAGACACGGUCCAGACUCCUACGGGAGGCAGCAGUGGGGAAUAUUGGACAAUGGGCGCAAGCCUGAUCCAGCCAUACCGCGUGGGUGAAGAAGGCCUUCGGGUUGUAAAGCCCUUUUGUUGGGAAAGAAAAGCAGCAGGUUAAUACCCCGCUGUUCUGACGGUACCCAAAGAAUAAGCACCGGCUAACUUCGUG
rnacentral:rRNA from 1 species